GUAUGAUAGUGAUGUUAAUUUUUUGUUUUUGUGUUACCAUUUUACAUUUGAACCAUGACCAUAUGCAAUCUGAGGUGUGGGGAGGCUCAGACAGAAAAUGCUUGCAAUGAAUGUUUAUGAGUACUUGGUAAUUUUGGAGUCCUUGGUUAGGGUUUGGACUAAAAGUACGAGUGUUGGAGCUGACACUUUCGGAGUUCGAACUCAUUCUUGGAAUUCGUGUUUUAAUAAUUUGAAUAUGACAAAAAAGAUAGUGAGAUGUUUGGUCUUUGGCUCGAUUGCUUUGACAAGACAUAUCUAGUUUUUGCCUAGCAUCAGCUGAACUUCUAUGAACAGAGAAUUAAGAAAGAUCCAAUUAAUAAAAUCAUAAUUCUUGCAGUCCAACCUUAUUUCAUAUCAGUUACCAUGUAAGAUGUGCAAUGUGAGGUUAAUGUGUCCAACUUGACCUCACCUACAAAGAACAACAAAUAAUUUUAGAAAAAGAAAAAAGAAAAAGAAAAGAACCAUUUCACCUCCAAUCCAAAAGGAAAAUCGAAACAUGUUUAGGCUGCAUUUGGAAGAUACUAUUAUUUGCGAAAUAGGGCCUCGAAUUUUGCCACAAGAACACUCUUGCAAGUAGGCUUAAAUAGGUUUCUCCUUUUUCUUUGUGGAAGAUAUUAUUAUUUGCGAAAUAGGGCCCAAAAAAUAG